AUGCAGCACUUUGACUUUUGUCAUAACUUUCUUUCAGAUGCAGAUGGAUUAAAUUCUUGGCAGAGCACCCAAUACCAGUAGGUAAAGCUGGAUCUUAUCCGUCAAGGUCAAGUAAGCAAGGCGGUCCACUUGUAUUAUUCCGAACCCCCUCACCGGCAGGAUGAUGGACCUGGUUCGCCACUCUCGUGAGCCCUCUGGAAGUAUUACGGGACUCUGCCAUGAAUCCUUUACCUUUUCCGUGUGAAGGUAUACCCUGUGAUGAUGGCGUUGGCCUCGGAGCGCGGCCAAAGUGUGCGGCCUGAGGACUGGGGC